rnacentral:rRNA from 1 species
UACGUAGGGCGCGAGCGUUGUCCGGAAUUAUUGGGCGUAAAGAGCUCGUAGGCGGCCUGUUGCGUCCGCUGUGAAAUCCCGGGGCUCAACCCUGGGCGUGCAGUGGAUACGGGCAGGCUGGAGGCAGGCAGGGGAGAACGGAAUUUCCGGUGUAGCGGUGAAAUGCGUAGAUAUCGGAAGGAACAUCAGUGGCGAAAGCGGCUUCCUGGUCCAGCACCGACGUUCAGGCACGAAAGCGUGGGGAGCAAACAGG